rnacentral:lncRNA from 1 species
GACCUGUCAGCUCCUGAAGGCAGGACUCUGUUGUCCACAGUGUAUGUUUGGCACCAGAACAGAGCCUGAUGCAAAGUAGGUACUCAAUGGACAUUCGUUGGGCGAAUGAACGAAUCAAGUUCUAGAGUCGUGAGCGGGGUGCGUACAAGAUUUGAACUUGGCCAAGCCGAGCUCUUGGAAUCCCCUGCAGGCCCAGCUCACUGCACUGUGGGAUUCUUCCAGCAGGGGGCGCCGCUGCUCCGUGGACCAGGCCCACCCCAGCGUCUUUCGGAACCUGCGUCUCCCACAACCUGCCUCCGACAAUCUCCAGCGCAGAGACUUCCUCCUCCUGGAAGCCCUCUGGGACCACCCCCAGCCUAGGCCUGCAGCCUCUGGGGCUCCCACACCCCUAGCCUGCGUAUUCUGGGUCAUCACUGUCUGGGGACCCGUCUGUCUCCCAUACUGGACUGUGAAUUCCUGGAAGGCAGGACAGGGCUAGGUGCCAGUCCGUCACCACGCUGUCCCCAGGGCCACCCUACAGAGGGCAAACAGAGAUGGCACUCUGCAGAUUGAGUGUUGAUUGGAUCAUGGAAAAAAACAAACUCACAUUCUAACUCUGCCGGGUCUUACUAGCCACAGGGUUGAAGGGGCUCAUCAUGGAUGUGGUCACACUUAGGUAGUGAGGGGACUGGAGUCAGGUGGCCCAGCUUGGUCAUUGUUGGCUGUGUGAUCACUAGCUAGGAAGUGACCUCUCUGGGUUUCAGGUACCUGGUCUGUGAAACCAGACUCCCAGGGGCAACCUACUCAGUGAGGCUGCUGGGACGGUCAUGGAGAGAUCCAAAACAGUCUUAGAACAGAGUAGGUGGUGGUCAACAGUGUGGGGAGAGGCAGGGAGAAGGGCCCAGGAAGAGGUGGG